GUGGGGAAUAUUGGGCAAUGGGCGAAAGCCUGACCCAGCAACGCCGCGUGAGGGAAGAAGGUUUUCGGAUUGUAAACCUCUGUCCUUGGUGACGAAGGAAGUGACGGUAACCAAGGAGGAAGCCCCGGCUAACUACGUGCCAGCAGCCGCGGUAAUACGUAGGGGGCAAGCGUUGUCCGGAAUGACUGGGCGUAAAGGGCGUGUAGGCGGCCGAUUAAGUCUGGAGUGACAGUCCUGCUUUCAAGGUGGGAAUUGCUUUGGAGACUGGUUGGCUUGAGUGCGGAAGAGGUAAGUGGAAUUCCCAGUGUAGCGGUGAAAUGCGUAGAGAUUGGGAGGAACACCAGUGGCGAAGGCGACUUACUGGGCCGUAACUGACGCUGAGGCGCGAAAGCGUGGGGAGCGAACAGGAUUAGAAACCCUUGUAGUCC
rnacentral:rRNA from 1 species